CCUACGGGCGGCUGCAGUGGGGAAUAUUGGACAAUGGGGGCAACCCUGAUCCAGCCAUGCCGCGUGUGUGAAGAAGGCCCUCGGGUUGUAAAGCACUUUCAGUGAGGAAGAACGCCUGGUGGUUAAUACCCAUCAGGAAAGACAUCACUCACAGAAGAAGCACCGGCCAACUCCGUGCCAGCAGCCGCGGUAAUACGGAGGGUGCGAGCGUUAAUCGGAAUUACUGGGCGUAAAGCGCGCGUAGGUGGCUUGAUAAGCCGGUUGUGAAAGCCCCGGGCUCAACCUGGGAACGGCAUCCGGAACUGUCAAGCUAGAGUGCAGGAGAGGAAGGUAGAAUUCCCGGUGUAGCGGUGAAAUGCGUAGAGAUCGGGAGGAAUACCAGUGGCGAAGGCGGCCUUCUGGACUGACACUGACACUGAGGUGCGAAAGCGUGGGUAGCAAACAGGAUUAGAUACCCGUGUAGUC
rnacentral:rRNA from 1 species